GGACUAUGGUGCAGCCAAGGAUGACUUGCCGAUCGAUGUGACGCCUCUUGAUCUCGUCGUCGUCAGAUCGUCGCCGAUCAUCGGCAAGUUGUUCUUGGCUACACCGUGGCUCCU
rnacentral:pre_miRNA from 7 species